rnacentral:rRNA from 1 species
GGUUAAGCGACUAAGCGUACACGGUGGAUGCCCUGGCAGUCAGAGGCGAUGAAGGACGUGCUAAUCUGCGAUAAGCGUCGGUAAGGUGAUAUGAACCGUUAUAACCGGCGAUUUCCGAAUGGGGAAACCCAGUGUGUUUCGACACACUAUCAUUAACUGAAUCCAUAGGUUAAUGAGGCGAACCGGGGGAACUGAAACAUCUAAGUACCCCGAGGAAAAGAAAUCAACCGAGAUUCCCCCAGUAGCGGCGAGCGAACGGGGAGCAGCCCAGAGCCUGAAUCAGUGUGUGUGUUAGUGGAAGCGUCUGGAAAGGCGCGCGAUACAGGGUGACAGCCCCGUACACAAAAAUGCACAUGCUGUGAGCUCGAUGAGUAGGGCGGGACACGUGGUAUCCUGUCUGAAUAUGGGGGGACCAUCCUCCAAGGCUAAAUACUCCUGACUGACCGAUAGUGAACCAGUACCGUGAGGGAAAGGCGAAAAGAACCCCGGCGAGGGGAGUGAAAAAGAACCUGAAACCGUGUACGUACAAGCAGUGGGAGCACGCUUAGGCGUGUGACUGCGUACCUUUUGUAUAAUGGGUCAGCGACUUAUAUUCUGUAGCAAGGUUAACCGAAUAGGGGAGCCGAAGGGAAACCGAGUCUUAACUGGGCGUUAAGUUGCAGGGUAUAGACCCGAAACCCGGUGAUCUAGCCAUGGGCAGGUUGAAGGUUGGGUAACACUAACUGGAGGACCGAACCGACUAAUGUUGAAAAAUUAGCGGAUGACUUGUGGCUGGGGGUGAAAGGCCAAUCAAACCGGGAGAUAGCUGGUUCUCCCCGAAAGCUAUUUAGGUAGCGCCUCGUGAAUUCAUCUCCGGGGGUAGAGCACUGUUUCGGCAAGGGGGUCAUCCCGACUUACCAACCCGAUGCAAACUGCGAAUACCGGAGAAUGUUAUCACGGGAGACACACGGCGGGUGCUAACGUCCGUCGUGAAGAGGGAAACAACCCAGACCGCCAGCUAAGGUCCCAAAGUCAUGGUUAAGUGGGAAACGAUGUGGGAAGGCCCAGACAGCCAGGAUGUUGGCUUAGAAGCAGCCAUCAUUUAAAGAAAGCGUAAUAGCUCACUGGUCGAGUCGGCCUGCGCGGAAGAUGUAACGGGGCUAAACCAUGCACCGAAGCUGCGGCAGCGACGCUUAUGCGUUGUUGGGUAGGGGAGCGUUCUGUAAGCCUGUGAAGGUGUGCUGUGAGGCAUGCUGGAGGUAUCAGAAGUGCGAAUGCUGACAUAAGUAACGAUAAAGCGGGUGAAAAGCCCGCUCGCCGGAAGACCAAGGGUUCCUGUCCAACGUUAAUCGGGGCAGGGUGAGUCGACCCCUAAGGCGAGGCCGAAAGGCGUAGUCGAUGGGAAACAGGUUAAUAUUCCUGUACUUGGUGUUACUGCGAAGGGGGGACGGAGAAGGCUAUGUUGGCCGGGCGACGGUUGUCCCGGUUUAAGCGUGUAGGCUGGUUUUCCAGGCAAAUCCGGAAAAUCAAGGCUGAGGCGUGAUGACGAGGCACUACGGUGCUGAAGCAACAAAUGCCCUGCUUCCAGGAAAAGCCUCUAAGCAUCAGGUAACAUCAAAUCGUACCCCAAACCGACACAGGUGGUCAGGUAGAGAAUACCAAGGCGCUUGAGAGAACUCGGGUGAAGGAACUAGGCAAAAUGGUGCCGUAACUUCGGGAGAAGGCACGCUGAUACGUAGGUGAAGUCCCUCGCGGAUGGAGCUGAAAUCAGUCGAAGAUACCAGCUGGCUGCAACUGUUUAUUAAAAACACAGCACUGUGCAAACACGAAAGUGGACGUAUACGGUGUGACGCCUGCCCGGUGCCGGAAGGUUAAUUGAUGGGGUCAGCGCAAGCGAAGCUCUUGAUCGAAGCCCCGGUAAACGGCGGCCGUAACUAUAACGGUCCUAAGGUAGCGAAAUUCCUUGUCGGGUAAGUUCCGACCUGCACGAAUGGCGUAAUGAUGGCCAGGCUGUCUCCACCCGAGACUCAGUGAAAUUGAACUCGCUGUGAAGAUGCAGUGUACCCGCGGCAAGACGGAAAGACCCCGUGAACCUUUACUAUAGCUUGACACUGAACAUUGAGCCUUGAUGUGUAGGAUAGGUGGGAGGCUUNNNNNNNNNNNNNNNNNNNNNNNNNNNNNNNNNNNNNNNNNNNNNNNNNNNNNNNNNNNNNNNNNNNNNNNNNNAUCCGGGUUGCGGACAGUGUCUGGUGGGUAGUUUGACUGGGGCGGUCUCCUCCUAAAGAGUAACGGAGGAGCACGAAGGUUGGCUAAUCCUGGUCGGACAUCAGGAGGUUAGUGCAAUGGCAUAAGCCAGCUUGACUGCGAGCGUGACGGCGCGAGCAGGUGCGAAAGCAGGUCAUAGUGAUCCGGUGGUUCUGAAUGGAAGGGCCAUCGCUCAACGGAUAAAAGGUACUCCGGGGAUAACAGGCUGAUACCGCCCAAGAGUUCAUAUCGACGGCGGUGUUUGGCACCUCGAUGUCGGCUCAUCACAUCCUGGGGCUGAAGUAGGUCCCAAGGGUAUGGCUGUUCGCCAUUUAAAGUGGUACGCGAGCUGGGUUUAGAACGUCGUGAGACAGUUCGGUCCCUAUCUGCCGUGGGCGCUGGAGAACUGAGGGGGGCUGCUCCUAGUACGAGAGGACCGGAGUGGACGCAUCACUGGUGUUCGGGUUGUCAUGCCAAUGGCACUGCCCGGUAGCUAAAUGCGGAAGAGAUAAGUGCUGAAAGCAUCUAAGCACGAAACUUGCCCCGAGAUGAGUUCUCCCUGACUCCUUGAGAGUCCUGAAGGAACGUUGAAGACGACGACGUUGAUAGGCCGGGUGUGUAAGCGCAGCGAUGCGUUGAGCUAACCGGUACUAAUGAACCGUGAGGCUUAACCUU